rnacentral:rRNA from 1 species
CCUACGGGUGGCUGCAGUAAGGAAUAUUGCGCAAUGGACGAAAGUCUGACGCAGCAACGCCGCGUGCAGGAUGAAGGCCCUUUGGGUUGUAAACUGCUGUAGAAAGGGAAUAAUAGUUUGCCACGGGUGAACUUGAAGGUACCUUUAAAGUAAGCGCCGGCUAACUACGUGCCAGCAGCCGCGGUAAUAAGUAGGGCGCAAGCGUUGUCCGGAUUCACUGGGUGUAACGGGGGCGUGGGCGGUUUGGGAUGAAAUCUCACGGCUCAACCGUGAAACUGCCUUUGAUACUGCGUAUCUUGAGUUCGGGAGAGGUUGAUGGAAUUCCAGGUGUAGCGGUGAAAUGCGUAGAUAUCUGGAAGAACACCAGUGGCGAAGGCGGUCAACUGGCCCGCAACUGACGCUCAUGCACGAAAGCGUGGGGAUCAAACAGGAUUAGAUACCCUAGUAGUC